GAUGAACGCUUGCGGCGUGCCUAAUACAUGCAAGUCGAGCGAACAGACGAGGAGCUUGCUCCUCUGACGUUAGCGGCGGACGGGUGAGUAACACGCGGAUAACCUACCUAUAAGACUGGGAUAACUUCGGGAAACCGGAGCUAAUACCGGAUAAUAUAUUGAACCGCAUGGUUCAAUAGUGAAAGACGGUUUUGCUGUCACUUAUAGAUGGAUCCGCGCCGCAUUAGCUAGUUGGUAAGGUAACGGCUUACCAAGGCGACGAUGCGUAGCCGACCUGAGAGGGUGAUCGGCCACACUGGAACUGAGACACGGUCCAGACUCCUACGGGAGGCAGCAGUAGGGAAUCUUCCGCAAUGGGCGAAAGCCUGACGGAGCAACGCCGCGUGAGUGAUGAAGGUCUUCGGAUCGUAAAACUCUGUUAUUAGGGAAGAACAAAUGUGUAAGUAACUAUGCACGUCUUGACGGUACCUAAUCAGAAAGCCACGGCUAACUACGUG
rnacentral:rRNA from 1 species